rnacentral:rRNA from 1 species
UACGUAGGGUGCAAGCGUUGUCCGGAAUUAUUGGGCGUAAAGAGCUCGUAGGCGGUUUGUUGCGUCGGCUGUGAAAUCCCGAGGCUCAACCUCGGGUCUGCAGUCGAUACGAGCAAACUAGAGUGUUGCAGGGGAGACUGGAAUUCCUGGUGUAGCGGUGAAAUGCGCAGAUAUCAGGAGGAACACCGAUGGCGAAGGCAGCUCGCUGGGACGGUACUGACGCUAAGGCGCGAAAGCGUGGGGAGCGAACAGG